UACAGAGGGUGCGAGCGUUAAUCGGAAUUACUGGGCGUAAAGCGUGCGUAGACGGUUACAUAAGUCGGUUGUGAAAGCCCCGGGCUCAACCUGGGAAUUGCAUUCGAGACUGCGUAGCUAGGGUGCGGAAGAGGGAAGCGGAAUUUCCGGUGUAGCGGUGAAAUGCGUAGAUAUCGGAAGGAACACCAGUGGCGAAAGCGGCUUCCUGGUCCAGCACCGACGUUCAGGCACGAAAGCGUGGGGAGCAAACAGG
rnacentral:rRNA from 1 species